rnacentral:lncRNA from 1 species
CUCUCUCUCUCUCUCUCUCUCUCUCUUCCCUAAUGCCAUUUCUUUUGCGAUCCUCUUUUCCAGGGGCCUCCCCAAGUCCACAGUGCAUUUCACCUGGGGUGAGGCUCACCUCUCCGGGCCGCAGUCACCAUGCAGACUGCUCUCUUUCCUGUGUACCUUGUUUUUUUUUCCGCUCUCUCUGUGCAUCCCACGAGGCGCUGCACUAACUGAUGGAAUGCACGCAGGUGCCAGAGAGGUAUUGGAAGCGCCAUGCAGAAAGCUUUACUAAAAAGAGCCAGAUUUGCAGUCUCCUAUCCUGGCUCCAACCGUAAGCAGGGACAAGGAAGUGAAAGGACCUCUCUUUGGAACAAAUGUCUGUGCUGGAUCUGGCCUCUGAGCAAGAAGAAGCCCAGAGGACCCCUUGUAGGACAACGGAGAAUUUGCCUGUUUGCCUGGUGUCUAUCUACGAUCCCUAAGGGCUGCUGCUACUGAACAUCUUGAGUCGGUUCACCUUGAUUGUUACAAUGAAACCACCGAGUGAUUCUCCAAGGUCAUUGAUUGCUGAGGAUAAAACGUAAUUCUCCAACUUCCGGGUUUUCAGAUUUUUCUGAGGACUUUGAUUCCAGAUGGCCGAAAGAAGCAAUUCCUUCUGGCCCUACCAGGGUAGAAUUAUAUAAGUUAACAAAGAGAGUAUACUGCUGUGAUGGUUUGUAUAUCCUUGGACCAGGGAGUGGCACCAUCUGAAGGUGUGGCCUUGUUGGAAUGGGUGUGUCACUGUGGGUGUGGGUAUAAGAUCCUCACCCUAGAUGCCUGGAAGUCAGUCUUCCACUAGCAGUCUUUGGAUGAAUACAUAGAACUCUCAGCUCCUCCUGCACCAUGCCUGCCUGGAUGCUGCCAUGCUCCCUCCUUGAUGAUAA